rnacentral:rRNA from 1 species
UACAGAGGUCUCGAGCGUUAGGCGGAAUCACUGGGCUUAAAGCGUGUGUAGGCGGAUCGUUAAGUACCUUGUGAAAUCCCACGGCUUAACCGUGGAACUGCUUGGUAUACUGGCGGUCUUGAGCCAGCUAGGGGCUACCGGAACAAAUGGUGGAGCGGUGAAAUGCGUAGAUAUCGGGAGGAACACCUGUGGCGAAAGCGGCGCACUGGACCAUAACUGACGCUGAUGCGCGAAAGCUAGGGGAGCAAACAGG